GACGAACCGUGCGAACGUUGUUCGGAUUCACUGGGCUUAAAGGGCGCGUAGGCGGCUUCUCAAGUCGAGGGUGAAAUCGUUCCGCUCAACGGGACAAUAGCCCUAGAUACUGGGAGGCUGGAGGGAGAUAGGGGUGCGCGGAACUUCCGGUGGAGCGGUGAAAUGCGUAGAUAUCGGAAGGAACGCCGGUGGCGAAAGCGGCGCACUGGAUCUCUUCUGACGCUGAGGCGCGAAAGCCAGGGGAGCAAACGGG
rnacentral:rRNA from 1 species